rnacentral:tRNA from 2 species
UCCCCGGUGGUCUAGUGGCUAGGAUUCGGCGCUUUCACCGCCGCGGCCCGGGUUCGAUUCCCGGUCAGGGAA